AGUGAACGCUGGCGGUAGGCCUAACACAUGCAAGUCGAACGGCAGCACAGUAAGAGCUUGCUCUUACGGGUGGCGAGUGGCGGACGGGUGAGGAAUACAUCGGAAUCUACUUUUUCGUGGGGGAUAACGUAGGGAAACUUACGCUAAUAUCGCAUACGACCUACGGGUGAAAGCAGGGGAUCUUCGGACCUUGCGCGAUUGAAUGAGCCGAUGUCGGAUUAGCUAGUUGGCGGGGUAAAGGCCCACCAAGGCGACGAUCCGUAGCUGGUCGGAGAGGAUGAUCGGCCACACUGGAACUUAGACACGGUCCAGACUCCUACGGGAGGCAGCAGUGGGGAAUAUUGGACAAUAGGCGCAAGCCUGAUCCAGCCAUACCGCGUGGGUGAAGGAGGCCUUCGGGUUGUAAAGCCCUUUUGUUGGGAAAGAAAAGCAGCAGGUUAAUACCCCGCUGUUCUGACGGUACCCAAAGAAGAAGCACCGGCUAACUUCGUG
rnacentral:rRNA from 1 species